AGGUAAACGGGUGGGACCACAAUGCGGUCGGCCCGGGGAAUUCAACCGGCCGGAAAUGUGUGCGGGCGGGAUGCCGCGGAGCCGUCGAGGCCCGCGCGACUCGUCUCCGAGCGCCGUCCGGGUCGGUGCACUUUCUCCGGGUCGACGGUCACGGCCGGCUCUCCGGCGGCCAGAAGCCAUGUUCGGGGGAAGGUGGACUCGAGCUCGCGCUCGAGUAGCAUAUAGCCCUCUGCAUGCGCAGGCCCGUCGGAGGGCCGAGGAAGGGAAUCGUUCGCCGCGCCCCAAUCGCUCUUCGGGCUACCCGCGUCCGGCACGACCGGGCUGGACUGGCUCGUCCAGUGCUCUCCCGACCGCGGGCACGGGAGGGUUCGAUGCAGCGAGGGGCGCCGACGGCCCGUGACGAAUCGGUUGG
rnacentral:rRNA from 1 species